CUGGACUUGAGCUAGUCACUUUAUUUUCUGAGCUUCAGUUUGCUCACUGGACGAGUAGGAAAGUCAUUCCUGUCUGGCUUAACUAGAGGGCCUGUGGUGAGGCAUAAACUGGAGAAGAAAAUCAAACCAUCUGGUGAACUGUCAAGCUCAAGUUCCCUCUUUAAGGAAGAAAGGAAAGUGUUUUCCUGGAUACUAGAUAUGCUGAGUUGGGACAGGAGCUAAGGAUAGAGGUGAGGAAACCCGCAGACAACAGCGACAUGCUCCUCAUCUUUGAGUCCCAGCGAACCUUUCCACUGUGUGUGUGUGCUGGAAUGCAGUUAACUGAUCACCUGCAGGCUUGAACUCCAGGGUUCAAGCGAUCCUCCUACUUCAGCCUCCUGAGCAGCUAAGGACUACAGGACAUUAUGUUCCUGAAAACCAGGAACUGCUUCCUGUCUGACCCACUGCAGUGGUGGAGAGGAUCAAGGGAAAUAAUGAUCAUGGAUGUGCUUAGGAGACGUAAGGUUUUACUAAGAAUUGCUGUGAGCUGGGCACCCUUCUACGCUCUGCAGACACCAUGGCUAGUAAGACAGGCAAAGACCUGCCAUCUGGAGCUUGUUUGGAUAUAGGGUAGGGGGACGGGGAGAAGGGAGAUAAACAAUAAACAAGUAAAUUUACACUCU
rnacentral:lncRNA from 1 species